GGAUGUGAGGGCAAUCUGGCUGUGACAUCUGUCACCCCAUUGCUCACCAGGAUUGAUUUGGCUGAUGGGUGUCCCCUUCCUCCCCCACUGCUCCAUAUGCAUCCCUCCCAAAGCUGUACACUUGGUCCAAGAGGACAACCAUCCACAAUAGAGGACUGUUUCCUUGGUCAAGGGUAUACAGUAGCUGUGCUUCUCUGCUAGGACCUCCAAACAAGCUCCCAAGAUUGGAAGUGGACAAUGCUUAAAAAGUAGUCCUGGAGCUGAGCAUGAUGCCUGUAAUCUCAGCACUUGGGAAGCUGAGGCAG
rnacentral:snRNA from 1 species